GACAGAGGGGGCAAGCGUUGCUCGGAAUCACUGGGCGUAAAGGGCGCGUAGGCGGGAUGGCAAGUCGGUCGUGAAAUCCUUCGGCUCAACCGAAGAACGUCGGCCGAUACUGUCGGACUAGAGUCCGGAAGAGGCGAGUGGAAUUCCCGGUGUAGCGGUGAAAUGCGCAGAUAUCGGGAGGGACACCAAUGGCGAAGGCAGCUCGCUGGGACGGUACUGACGCUGAGGCGCGAAAGCGUGGGGAGCAAACAGG
rnacentral:rRNA from 1 species